UCUUGCAGACAGUUUGCUUUAAUCCUGAGUGGAUGAAAACGGCAGGAGUUUGUAUAAAAUUGGUGUAAGUUUUCAGCCACUGAGAGCAGAACACAUCAGAAGGCAAUGCUGAAUAAAUCCAGAGGAAUACCAUGGCAUUAAUUGUGCAUCGUGCUGAGCAUACCUACUGUGGUAGAAGGUGACUCCCACCCCAGUGAUGGAUGGCAUCCUGAAUGAGCACUCUAAAAACAAACAAACAAACAAACAAACAAACCCACAACAUUCUUUCUGUUUUUCUGUGAAAGACUUCACCACUGUGGAUCCUCUAAACUUGGGGGGUGGGAUGGCAGCUCUAUAACUGCCAUGCAAGGCUGGCCCCUGCAUUUAAACUGCUGCAUGCAAUGGGAGCUCCUGGCACGAGAAGGGCAAUGCCCAGAGACACUGGAUGACUCACGACUGCCUGACAGCAUCUGCAGCAUCCAUCCAAUGGGAGCAGUAGCAGGAGUUGCUUCACUGAAAGGAAAGUCUCCAAGAGAUUAACUUCCUGGUGGCUACAUGAAGAUAUUUGGGCAAAGAGGCCCAGGACAGCUAUUUGAUCUCCAAGGAUGGAGUGCACCCUCAGCAAGUUUUUGGAUGACAAUAAAAGUGGAGAAAGAAGAUGGUUGGAGGGUGGGGCUGCCACUCAGAGGCAUGGACAGACUGGAGAAAUGGACUGAACUCAUGAAGUUUAGAAUAGAUAAGUGCAACCAGAAAUGAAUUAGCUCCCUUAGAGUAAAUAACUGGAAUAGAUGACCUCCAGAAAUUCCCCAACCUUAAUGGUUCUCUGAUUCUAUGAUUUUAUGAUUCUUGCUCUGCAAGUGGCUAAAUGAGAGGAGACACAGAUGAAAAAGCAGAUUUGAGUAGCUAUUCAAAUACAGUCUAUUAUGUUCUCUGAAUUAGAGGGAGAAGAGGAUUGUAGAGAAGUAAUACAUUUUACUAGAUCAACUGGUAUAGCUGGAAGAGAAAAACAGAUAUAUCUUUUAUUAGAUUUGAAAGACAAGUGAUGCUCUUCAAAGCUGAAUAUGAGUAGAGAACAAUUGCUCUGAAUUUUAUGUUUAUAUUUAGCAGUGAAAAAAAGGCAGUAGGUACUUUCAGAGCAAAGAAGGAUCUUAGGCUAGAAAACAAGCAUUUGUAGGAUAGAAAGAGCACCUUGAAACAAAGACUGUCUCACACAUUUUACCAUUAGCACCCAAAACUUUGCCUUCAAUAACAAACACAUUCCUCAAGCAUUGUCACAGCUGGGAAAACAAUAUACCCCCGCAAUAUGCUAUAGGAGUCACCAUGAAAAAGAGAUUAUAAAUUUUCUGGACUGAAAACCUAGAAUCCCAAUUGAUUUCUACCACAGCUUCAUUAAUCACUUUCUGUACAAACCCUAAUUUCCUAGUCACAGCCAGCAACAUAAGAAAUGGAUAGAAUACACCCAGAACCAAGACCAGCACACCUACCAUUGUGAUCAUCUAAUCACCAAAAUUAAUAAUUUAAAACAAAAUAGGGCUGAGGUAUGCACUUAGACCCUGAAGCAUAGGGUGUAUUAGCUUUGAGGAAAAUCUUACAACUAUGCAAUUACCCUCACAGCUAAUAAAACGAGAUUAAUGUAAGGGAAUUCCUUUGCUAAAAUAGAUCCCACCUUUAAACAAAACACUACGAUACCAAAUACAAACUCCCUUCCAUUUAAAGCAUCACAACAGUUGUGUGCAACUAAUUGGCUAACACUGCAACCUUGAAAUACUGAAAUAUCCUCCAUAGGGAAGGAAAGUUAGAAUCCUUCCUUGGAAAACAAUUUCCUAUAACUUUCCCUCCCCCACUAAGUUCAUUGCCAAAAGUAAGUUUCCUGGAGAUCAACAUGCACCACUUGUUCAGUCCAUUGUUCAGGAAGACUGGGAAUUUUGGCAGGAGGCCCACUUGGCUAAGCAAGAAGCUUCUUAAUGAACUAAAAUGCCAAGCACAUAAGAAGUGGAAACAAGGGCAGUCAACAAAGGAGAAGUAUAAAAGUAUUGCUCAGACAUGUAGGGACAAAACCAGAAAGACCAAAGCCCAGUUGGAGCUAAAACUGGAGAAGAAACAUAAAAGGUAACAAGAUGUGAUUUUACAAGCAUGACAGAAGUAAAAGGAAGCUCAGAUAAAAUGCACUUCUAUUUCUGAAUGGGAGAGGACCCAGUGGUGGAAAAGCCUGAAGCACUCAAUGACUUUUUGUCUCGGAGAAAACCUGCUCUCAGAUCUCUGCACACACUGGUGCAAUUUGGGAAUGAGAACAACUCUGUGGGGAAACAACAGUUUGGGACUAUAUAGGGAAGGUGGGUGGAUGUAUUGCAGUCCAUGGGGCUAGAUGGGGCUCCUCAGCAGGUGCUGAAAGAAGGUGCUGAUAUGCUUCUGAGGCCACUGUAAAUUGUGAAAAAUCAUAGCAUUUGAGGGCUUGCUGAUAACUGAGAAAAGGCUGAUGUUACACACAACUUGUGUAUUGGAUUUACAGAGCUGUAGGCUGGUUAGCCCCACUUCAGUACUUUGAAAACUAACAGAGCAUAUCUAUUUCUAAACUCAUGAAGGACAAGUUGUGACCUGGAACAAUCAACAGAUUUAACGAAGUAAAUCAUAUUUGUAGAAGUGCAGUGUAACUGAGUACUGGGCUCCAUUAAAAGAUCACAGCCAGCA